rnacentral:rRNA from 1 species
AAUAUUGCACAAUGGGGGAAACCCUGAUGCAGCAACGCCGCGUGGAGGAUGAAGGUCNNNGGAUUNUAAACUCCUUUGAUGAGNGAANAAAAAAAUGACGGUACCUCAAAAACAAGCCACGGCUAACUACGUGCCAGCAGCCGCGGUAAUACGUAGGUGGCAAGCGUUGUCCGGAAUUAUUGGGCGUAAAGGGCGCGUAGGCGGUUCUUUAAGUCAGAUGUGAAAACCCGAGGCUCAACUUCGGGCGUGCAUUUGAAACUGGGGGACUAGAGUGCAGGAGAGGUAAGUGGAAUUCCUAGUGUAGCGGUGAAAUGCGUAGAUAUUAGGAGGAACACCAGUGGCGAAGGCAACUUACUGGACUGUAACUGACGCUGAGGCGCGGAAGCGUGGGGAGCAAACAGG